UUAUUUGCAGCUUUGAUUGCUUUUUCACAAACACACACAUAAAUAUAUAUAUUUGAAGGAGUUACAGUUCUAAACUAAACUGGAAUAAAGUAAUGCCCAUAGUUAUUAAGUACUAAAGUACAGUAUUUUAAAGAAAUGUUGAAAUUGUUAUAAUAUGAAGUUUCUUAGUGCCCCUAGCUUACAGCCACUAAAGUUAGUUUUAUAUCUGAUACCAUAUUGUAAUGAAUUUACUUUUUUGUUCUGUAUGAUCUUUAGCUUAGUUUACUGGGUUGCCCAAUAACAUGGGAUUGACCUGCCUGCUAACCUUGUGUUGGAGUCUGCUUAGUCCCUAGUUCAGCUAGGUCCAAGUUUUUGUCUCAUGACCAAGAAGAAUAAGGCUUGCAGCCACUGGAGAGUAAAUAGAGUAGAAUUUAUUAAGCGAAAGGAAAGCUCUUAGCAAAGAGAGGGGACCUGAAAGCAGGUUGCCAGAAAUAGGACUGAGUUCUGGGUCUUUUAUGUGGCAAGAGCAAGGAAGCCUUCUGUGGGUUCUGCCCAAAAUGGGAGGGCUAAAGUUCCCUCCUAAGGAUGUUGCAUCUGUGCAUGCCUGGGGUUGACUCCAUCUUAGUUAUUACCCGUGAGUGCCUAAGCGAAAGCCACAGGGGUACUAAAACCACAAUGCGAAUGUCAUGUUAAUGGCAUUAUAAUGAGUUGGGCCAAGUUAAGGACAUUUAGGUUGACUUAUUGCGCCUGUGCCUAAGUUGGGAUGGUCCCUUCUGAGCAACAUCCUGGCAUGAGGGUAAGUUCUUAAUCAUAUUUCUUCUCAUUAGCUACAGGGACAGUGCAGGUGCAGUCCUGUGGGUAUUUUUCCACUCCGAAGACCCUCCCUCUCUAUCUGCCUAAACUGCCUCCUCUGUCACUUGGAAAUGGCAGUUUACUGUUGAACAAUAGACCUCUCCUUAUGCUUUUCUCUUCCAGUCUUUGGGAAUCACACUCUGAAGAUUAAACAUUUCACUGAGACAGCAUGACGCAGUAGAAGGUACCCAGAAUCACAAUACAGUUCACAGUAACAAAGAUAUGGAAUCAACCAAAGUGGAUGAUUGGAUGAGGAAAGUGUAGUAUAUAUACACAAUGGAAUACUAUUCAGCCAUAAAAAGAAUGAAAUAAUGUCUUUUGCAGCAACAUGGAUCAAACUGGAGGCCAUUAUCUUAUGUGAAAUAAGCUAGACACAAAAAGACAAAUACCACAUAUAAGUGGGAGUGAAAUAAUGUGUACCCAUGGAUGUAGAGUGUGGAAUGAUAGACAGUGGAGACUGGGAAGGGUGGGAGGGGGUUGGAUGAUGAGAAAUUACUUAAUUGGUACAAUGUAUGUUAUUCCAGUGAUGGAUACCUGGAAAGUCCUGACUUCAUCACUAUGCAAUAUAUCCAUGUAACAAAAUUACACUGUAUCCCAUACAUUUAUAUAAAUGAAAUGAAAAAUGAAAGAAAAUAGGAGUUUAAGUACCAUAUGUGUUACAACUAGCUGUGCAAUCCUGGACGAGUCAGUUCUCAUUUCUGAGCCUCAGUAUCCC
rnacentral:lncRNA from 1 species